AGUGAAUGCUGGCGGUAGGCCUAACACAUGCCAGUCGAACGGCAGCACAGUAAGAGCUUGCUCUUACGGGUGGCGAGUGGCGGACGGGUGAGGAAUACAUCGGAAUCUACUUUUUCGUGGGGGAUAACGUAGGGAAACUUACGCUAAUACCGCAUACGACCUACGGGUGAAAGCAGGGGAUCUUCGGACCUUGCGCGAUUGAAUGAGCCGAUGUCGGAUUAGCUAGUUGGCGGGGUAAAGGCCCACCAAGGCGACGAUCCGUAGCUGGUCUGAGAGGAUGAUCAGCCACACUGGAACUGAGACACGGUCCAGACUCCUACGGGAGGCAGCAGUGGGGAAUAUUGGACAAUGGGCGCAAGCCUGAUCCAGCCAUACCGCGUGGGUGAAGAAGGCCUUCGGGUUGUAAAGCCCUUUUGUUGGGAAAGAAAAGCAGCAGGUUAAUACCCCGCUGUUCUGACGGUACCCAAAGAAUAAGCACCGGCUAACUUCGUG
rnacentral:rRNA from 1 species